CCUACGGGAGGCAGCAGUAGGGAAUAUUGCUCAAUGGGGGAAACCCUGAAGCAGCAACGCCGCGUGGAGGAUGAAGGUUUUCGGAUUGUAAACUCCUUUUGUUAGAGAAGAUAAUGCCUGUAUCUAACGAAUAAGCACCGGCUAACUCCGUGCCAGCAGCCGCGGUAAUACGGCGGGUGAAAGCGUUACUCGGAAGCACUGGGCGUAAAGAGCGCGUAGGCGGGAUAGCAAGUCAGAAGUGAAAUCCUAUGGCUUAACCAUAGAACGGCAUUUGAAACUGUUAUUCUAGAGUAUGGGAGAGGAAGGUGGAAUUCUUGGUGUAGGGGUGAAAUGCGUAGAGAUCAAGAGGAAUACU
rnacentral:rRNA from 1 species